GAUGAACGCUGGCGGCGUGCUUAACACAUGCAAGUCGAACGGAAAGGCUCCUGCUUGCAGGGGUACUCGAGUGGCGAACGGGUGAGUAACACGUGGGUGAUCUGCCCUGCACUUCGGGAUAAGCCUGGGAAACUGGGUCUAAUACCGGAUAGGACGAUGGUUUGGAUGCCAUUGUGGAAAGUUUUUCGGUGUGGGAUGAGCUCGCGGCCUAUCAGCUUGUUGGUGGGGUAAUGGCCUACCAAGGCGUCGACGGGUAGCCGGCCUGAGAGGGUGUACGGCCACAUUGGGACUGAGAUACGGCCCAGACUCCUACGGGAGGCAGCAGUGGGGAAUAUUGCACAAUGGGCGCAAGCCUGAUGCAGCGACGCCGCGGGGGGGAUGACGGCCUUCGGGUUGUAAACUCCUUUCGCUAGGGACGAAGCGCAAGUGACGGUACCUGGAGAAGAAGCACUGGCUAACUACGUG
rnacentral:rRNA from 1 species